rnacentral:rRNA from 1 species
AGAGUUUGAUCCUGGCUCAGGAUGAACGCUAGCUACAGGCUUAACACAUGCAAGUCGAGGGGCAGCAUGGUCUUAGCUUGCUAAGGCCGAUGGCGACCGGCGCACGGGUGAGUAACACGUAUCCAACCUGCCGUCUACUCUUGGACAGCCUUCUGAAAGGAAGAUUAAUACAAGAUGGCAUCAUGAGUCCGCAUGUUCACAUGAUUAAAGGUAUUCCGGUAGACGAUGGGGAUGCGUUCCAUUAGAUAGUAGGCGGGGUAACGGCCCACCUAGUCUUCGAUGGAUAGGGGUUCUGAGAGGAAGGUCCCCCACAUUGGAACUGAGACACGGUCCAAACUCCUACGGGAGGCAGCAGUGAGGAAUAUUGGUCAAUGGACGAGAGUCUGAACCAGCCAAGUAGCGUGAAGGAUGACUGCCCUAUGGGUUGUAAACUUCUUUUAUAAAGGAAUAAAGUCGGGUAUGCAUACCCGUUUGCAUGUACUUUAUGAAUAAGGAUCGGCUAACUCCGUGCCAGCAGCCGCGGUAAUACGGAGGAUCCGAGCGUUAUCCGGAUUUAUUGGGUUUAAAGGGAGCGUAGAUGGAUGUUUAAGUCAGUUGUGAAAGUUUGCGGCUCAACCGUAAAAUUGCAGUUGAUACUGGAUAUCUUGAGUGCAGUUGAGGCAGGCGGAAUUCGUGGUGUAGCGGUGAAAUGCUUAGAUAUCACGAAGAACUCCGAUUGCGAAGGCAGCUUGCUAGACUGUAACUGACGCUGAUGCUCGAAAGUGUGGGUAUCAAACAGGAUUAGAUACCCUGGUAGUCCACACGGUAAACGAUGAAUACUCGCUGUUUGCGAUAUACAGCAAGCGGCCAAGCGAAAGCGUUAAGUAUUCCACCUGGGGAGUACGCCGGCAACGGUGAAACUCAAAGGAAUUGACGGGGGCCCGCACAAGCGGAGGAACAUGUGGUUUAAUUCGAUGAUACGCGAGGAACCUUACCCGGGCUUAAAUUGCAGAUGAAUUACGGUGAAAGCCGUAAGCCGCAAGGCAUCUGUGAAGGUGCUGCAUGGUUGUCGUCAGCUCGUGCCGUGAGGUGUCGGCUUAAGUGCCAUAACGAGCGCAACCCUUGUUGUCAGUUACUAACAGGUUAUGCUGAGGACUCUGACAAGACUGCCAUCGUAAGAUGUGAGGAAGGUGGGGAUGACGUCAAAUCAGCACGGCCCUUACGUCCGGGGCUACACACGUGUUACAAUGGGGGGUACAGAAGGCAGCUACCUGGCGACUGGAUGCCAAUCCCGAAAGCCGCUCUCAGUUCGGACUGGAGUCUGCAACCCGACUCCACGAAGCUGGAUUCGCUAGUAAUCGCGCAUCAGCCACGGCGCGGUGAAUACGUUCCCGGGCCUUGUACACACCGCCCGUCAAGCCAUGGGAGCCGGGGGUACCUGAAGUGCGUAACCGCGAGGAGCGCCCUAGGGUAAAACUGGUGACUGGGGCUAAGUCGUAACAAGGUAGCCGUACCGGAAGGUGCGGCUG